ensembl:lncRNA
GGCAGGAAUGGGACUUGAACUCAAGGCUUUCUGGCCUGCCCGCCCACCCGUGUUCCUUGACUGUGUGGCACCUGCCUGCAGGAGGAGGGGGGAGGGAGAGAAGAUGGCACAGUGGGAAGGCAGGGAGGCUUUGCCGAGCUGGGGCCUCGGGAGCAGAGCGGCAGGCAUUUUUCUAGAGCUUUCAUUUCCGUCUGCCUCUUCUGAGCAGCACCAUGUGGCUUGUGGAUCUUAGGUCCCCAACCAGGGAUCGAACCCAUGCCCUUGGCAGUACCCUGACUGUCAGAGAGGGAAAAGGACUAGGAAUUAUAGCCAAGGCAGUCGUUCCGAGAAAAACAAUCCUGCGGUGAAAAGAGCCCUGUUCGGAGAGCAGAGAGACCUGGACCUAAGUCCUGGAAUGGAGACUGCCCCUCUUGGAGCUUCUGUGUCCUUACUCAGGAUUCUACCUGGGUUUUUGACCCACCUGUCAUCUUUUACCCACCUCCUGAUUCCUAGGCCCCCAGAAACAGUUCGGGUACAUCCCUUGGCUUAUUUUUCCCAGGAACCUCGGAGCUUGGGAGUGGCUUAUUUUUCCCAGGAACCUCGGAGCUGGGGAGUGGUCACCUAAGUCUAUGGUGACCAGAGACAUGAGGGAUUGGCUGAGGGCACCCUCAAGAAUCUCCCUGGAAUGCUAACAAGUUGGGGGAGAGGUCUUUCUCAGGGGACACCAGACCUGGAAGGGAGAAAUACAGAAAUGGAAGCCAAAAUAUACAGGUUUGAGUCCCAGGGUCAUUUCAAAUUCCCUGGGCGACUCAUGGCCAGGCGUUAAGUCAUGGCGUUUUUAGUUUUAUCUUUUGCAAAAUAAGGACAGUAUCUGCCUUUAAGAGUUGCUCUAGAGAACUAACUGAGGUACAAUGUGAAUCCGGCCUGCAACCUUUUAUGAUGAGCAAGACGCGCAUAUACCCACUCAAGCAUGAAUCCUUAACAAACACUACAGGACAAGAGGCAGACGUGACUGCUCCUACUUUGCAGGACAGACUGAGACCCAGGUAAGUUGAGAGAGUUGCCUGAGGUCGCAGAGUGCGGUGGCGGCUGAACCAGGGUCCAACUCACCUGACCCUGGCCUUUCACACCCAGCACCCAAUCCCAGGACCCCGGGCCUCACCCCAGAAGGACCCUUAGCGGCAGGCGAGAGCCUGUGACUCACUCUCCCCACCCUACUUUCGGCCGGCCU